rnacentral:rRNA from 1 species
AGACCUCAGGUCAGACGUGGUGACCCGCUGAAUUUAAGCAUAUUAGUCAGCAGAGGAAAAGGAACUAACAAGGAUUCCCUCAGUAAGGAAUAGUGAACAGGGAACAGUUCAGCUCCAAAUUCCCGCCCUGCAAUGGGGUGCAGGAAAUGUGGGGUAUGUAAGACCCACUCCCCGGGGCUGCUCAUCGGGGGUCCAAGACCUUCUGAUCAUAGAUGGUGUGAAGCCGUUAGUGGCCCAUGGUAUGCUGGGUCCCAGUCUUCCCAGAGUUGGGUUGCUUGGGAAUGCAGCCCAAAGUGGGUGGUAAACUCCAUCUAAGGCUGAAUACCGAUAGUCAACAAGUACUGUAAGGGAAAGCUGAAAAGAACUUUGAAGAGAGAGUUCAAAAGGGCAUGAAACCCUUAAGAGGUAAAUGGGUGGGGUCUGCACAGUCCCCCCUGAGGAUUCAACCCAGUGGUUGAAUCCGGCUGUGCCAGUGGUCUCCUGGCAGAUCUUUCCUGCCUCUCAUUCCUCCCGACCCCUUCACCCAUCUGCCCACCCACCCGCUGCCGCCCCUCCUCCCUUCCGGGAGGGGAGUACGCUCUGGAGGGUGCAUGGGACGGGUGAGCAGGUCCGGGUGUGGGUGUGGGGCGGGUAGGGUACCACCCAGUGGAUGUUGACCUGCAGCCUCCAGGCGCAUUUCCACUUCGGUGCACCAGGACUAGCUCCGGACAUCUGGGAAGGCCUCUUGGGGAAGGUGGCUUGGGGGGGAGUCCCCCUGCCUGCGUUAUUCCCACGGCGUGUGGCAGGGGUCAGUUCCCCCCCGCCCCCCAAGUGUUACAGCCACCUGGCAGAGCAGCUCGCCAAAUCCUGGGGUUGAGGGAGCCAGACCCAUCACUGUGCUCUACCCGCUCCUGGCGCCCACCCACAGCGGAGGUCUUUCCCACAAGGGGGAGCCCACCUCUGAGACGCGAAUGCUGGCAUUCCCUGGGGGGCUGGACUGCCCCUCCCAUGGCGCGACCACUCUCCCACUCUUGCCUCUCCUUCCCCGCAGGGAGUGAUGGGGCAGGGCGGACUGUGCCCAUUGCACCCCAUGUGGUCUUGCCGUGGGACCUGAUCCAUCGUGAAACACAGACCAAUGAAUCUAACUCGUGAGCAAGUCGAGGGCUCCCUCAAAUGCCGCUGAGGCACAAUGAAGGUGAAGGCAGGUGUUUUCAGCGGCGUGCCACCGAGGGAGGGUGAGUGGGGUGGGUCCAGGGCAGGGUGGAUGGUGGCGCUACCAUGCACCCUCCUGCCUGCCCCUCACCCCAUUCUCUCUCCCUACUCCUCCUUUUCCCAGUGCUCCACCUCACUGGCCCAAGGAGGGAUCCUGAGGCCUCUCCAGUCCUCCCUCAAAAGAUGGUGAACUAUUCCUGGGCAGGGCGAAGCAAGAGGAAACUCUGGUGGAGGUCUGUAGUGUUCUUGACGCGCAAAUCUGUUGUCCGACCUGGGUAUAGGAGCGAAAGACUAAUUGAACCAUCUAGUAGCUGGUUUCCUCCGAAGGUUCCCUCAGGAUAGCUGGCGCUCUCAAAAACCACAAUGAAGUUUUAUCCUGUAAAGUGAAUGAUUAGAGGUCUUGAGGCCAAAACCGUCUCAACCUAUUCUCAAACUUUAAAUGGGUAAGAAUCCCAGCUCGCUGGCGUGGAGCCAGGCGUGGAAUGCGAGUGCCUAGUGUGCCACUUUUGGUAAGCAGGACUGGCCCUGCAGGAUGAACCAAAUGCCAGGUUAAAGCGCCCGAUGCCAACGCUCAUCAGACCCCAGAAAAGUUGUUGGUUGAUAUAGACAGCAGGAUGUUGGCCAUGGAAGUUGGAAUCCGCUAAGGAGUGUGUAACAACUCACCUGCCGAAUCAACUAGCCCUGAAAAUGGAUGGUGCUGGAGCAUCCGGCCCAUACCUGGCCGUCGCUAGCAGUGGGAUCUACACAGGAGCAAGAAGGGGAAUCUGCGUGGAGGGUUGCCCCUUCCCCUCACCGCCCUCCCCAUGUGUGUCGCCCUGCAGACACUAGCCAUGGCGAGCAGGAGGGCUGCUGCGGUGAGCCUUGAAGCCUAGGGUGUGGGCCCCGGUGGAGCCGCCGCAGGUGCCGAUCUUGGUGGUAGUAGCAAAUAUUCAAACAAGAACUUUGAAGGCAGAAGUGGAGAAGGAUUCCAUGUGAACAGCAGUUGAAUAUGAAUCAAUUGGUCCUGAGAGAUGGGCUAGCGCCAUUCCGAAGGGACAGGUGAUGGUCUCCGUUGCCCUCAGCCUGUCAAAAAGGAGUCUGGUUCAGAUCUCCGAAUUCAGAGUGGCAGAGAUGGUCAUGGCGAGGCAUCCAGUGCGGUAACGCGACCGACCCCAGAGAAGCCAGCGGGAGCCCCGGGGAGAGUUCACUUUUCUUUGUGAAGGGCAGUGUACCUUGGAAUGUGUUCGCCCUAGAAAGGGGCCUGUGACUUGGAAAGCGUUGCGGUUCCAGCGGCGUCUGGUGAGCUCUUGCUGGCCCUUGAAAAUCCGGGGAAGAGGGGUGUAAAUCUCACGCCAAACCUUACCCAGAUCCGCAGCAUGUCUCCAAGGUGAACAGCCUCAGGCGUGUUAGAACAAUGUAGGUAAGGGAAGUCGGCAAGCUGGAUCUGUAACUUCCGGAUAAGGAUUGGCUCUAAGGGCGGGGUCGGUCGGGCUGGGGCGCCAAUCGGGACUUGACACGCGUCAUGGCUGGACGAGGUGCCCGCCUCCCCACUACGCCUGGGGUUUCCCCUCGUCCAAGCCUGCCCCUGCUUCCCGCCUCUGACCCUCCUGUGCGGCGCGCCGCCCGUAGUCCGCUCUGGCGGUGCUGCGGCAUCUGCAGCAGGGGGGCCCCUGGUGGUCCAGCGGUGGCAGAACAGUCUCCCUUGGGGCCAGUGGGCCUCCUGGGGGGGCCUGGACACCUGGGGGGCCGACGCCAGCAUCAACUUUGGACGCAAGCCAACGUAUGCGGGGAGCCCAGCGGGUGCCUUGCACGCCCAGCUCCUCUCCCUCUCAUCUCCGCAGCCCCUUUCCGCUCGACACCCCCCCCCCCACAUCCUAGCGCAGCGAGCAUCAGCGGCAGGGUGGGGUCUGACCUCCGUCCUUUCCCGCCUCUUGUACGCUCCAGGUAGCGGCGCGGGGAGAAGGGUGUGGGGGGAGUUGUCGGUUUUGGGAGGAGUGGGGAAGCCGGUCCGCACUGGUCUCCCCCGCCGGGUGAGCCCCCACGCCGCAGUUCCUUGCAGUGCUCCACCUCAGCCUGCACCUAGCAACCCACUUAGAACUGGUGUUCCAGGCGAAUCUGACUGUUUAACUAAAACAAAGCAUCACGAAGGCCCUCGGUGGGUGCUGAUGCGAUGUAAUUUCUGCCCAGUGCUCUGAAUGUCAAAGUGAAGAAAUUCAAUGAAGUGCGGGGAAAUGGUGAGCUAAACUAUUACUCUCUUAAGGUAGCCAGAUGCCUCAUCUAAUUAGUGACGCGCAUCAUGGAUGAAUGAAAUUCCCACUGUCCCUACCUACUACCCAGCGAAACCACAGCCAAGGGAAUGGGCUUGGCAGAAUCAGCGGGGAAAGAAGACACUGUUGAGCUUGACUCUAAUCUGGCACAGUGAAGAGACAUGAGAGGUGUAGAAUAAGUGGGAGGCCCCGGCAUCCCCCCCAUUUCCCGCGAGGGGAUGGGGUGGGGUCCGCCGGCCUCAAGGGCUGCCGGUGAAACAUCACUACUCUGAUCGUGUUUUCACUGACCCGGUGAGAUGAGGGGGCAAGCCCCGUGGGGCUGUCGCUUCUGGCACCAAGCGUUAGGUCCUCUGUGCUGCGUCUUCACAGGUGCGCAGUUGUCCCACCAGGCGCAACCCGCUCCGGGGACAGUGUUAGGUGGGGGUUUGACUGUGGUGGUACACCUGUCAAACAGUAACGCAGGGGUCCUAAGGUGAGCUCAGGGAGGACAGAAACCUCUCAUGGAGCAGAUGGGCAAAAGCUCGCUUGAUCUUGAUUUUCAGUAUGAAUAUAGACCGUGAAAGCGGGGCCUCACGGUCCUUCUGACCUUUUGGGUUUUAAGCAGGCGGUAUCAGAAAAGUUACCACAGAUAUCUAACUGGCUUGUGGCGGCCAAGCAUAGCGACAUCCCUUUUUGAUCCUUCGAUGUCGGCUCUUCCUAUCAUUGUGAAGCAGAAUUCAUCAAAGGUUGGAUUGUUUACCCACUAAUAGGGAACGUGAGCUGGGUUUAGACCGUCGUGAGACAAAUUAGUCUUACCCUACUGAUGAUGUGUUGUUGCCAUGGUAAUCCUGCUCAGUAGGAGAAAGGAACCACAGGUUCAGACAUUUGGUGUAUGUGUUUGGCUGAGGAGCCAAUGGGGCAAAGCUACCAUCUGUGGAAUUAUGACUGAACGCCUCUAAGUCAGAAUCCUGCCCAGGCGGAACGAUAUGCACGUUCGUGAGGAACCUGGUGCUAAACCAUUGUAGAGGAUCUGCUUCUGGGUCAGGGUUUUGUAAGUAGCAGAGAAGCUUCCUCGCUGUAAUCUAUUGAAAGUCAGCCAGCCCUCAACUCGAGGGUUUGU